rnacentral:rRNA from 1 species
GACGAACGCUGGCGGCGUGCUUAACACAUGCAAGUCGAGCGGUAAGGCCCUUUCGGGGGUACACGAGCGGCGAACGGGUGAGUAACACGUGGGUGACCUGCCCUCAGCUCUGGGAUAAGCCUGGGAAACCGGGUCUAAUACUGGAUAUGACUCCAUGACGCAUGUUGUGGGGUGGAAAGCCUUGUGCGGCUGAGGAUGGGCCCGCGGCCUAUCAGCUUGUUGGUGGGGUGANGGCCUACCAAGGCGACGACGGGUAGCCGGCCUGAGAGGGCGACCGGCCACACUGGGACUGAGACACGGCCCAGACUCCUACGGGAGGCAGCAGUGGGGAAUCUUGCGCAAUGGGCGAAAGCCUGACGCAGCGGCGCCGCGUGAGGGAUGACGGCCU